rnacentral:rRNA from 1 species
UACGUAGGCAGCAAGCGUUGUUCGGAGUUACUGGGCGUAAAGGGCGCGUAGGCGGCUUGGCAAGUGGAAGGUGAAAUCCCUCGGCUUAACCGAGGAACUGCCUUCCAGACUGCUUUGCUUGAGGCCGGGAGAGGCGAGUGGAAUUCCCAGUGUAGCGGUGAAAUGCGUAGAUAUCUGGAGGAACACCGGUGGCGAAGGCGGCAUCCUGGACCAACACUGACACUGAGGAGCGAAAGCCAGGGGAGCAAACGGG